UGAUAGAGAGUGAGAGCCUGACUUUUCUUCUCCAAGUCUAUGUGCAAAAGAGAACUCAGCAAGUCCUCCAUCUAAUUUGAAACUGUAAGCUUAAACAUUUGAAACCCACCAGGCUGGAGAUGCAACAGGACAAGUAUUGUUAUCUGGCUUUCUCACCAAUGAUUUGUGAGGAGGAGGCUGUUCUCUACGACAAGAGUAAAGAUGAAAGAAAGUUUUGCUGCUUUUUUCAAAUCCUGGAGAGCUGGACAGCUGCCAGAGUUUUCAUCAGAUACCUUAAGCUCUAAUUACUCUCAGCUCAUAUGGAGUUUCAGUUCACCUAUGUCAUGGGAAACAAAUAUUUUACUAACAAGCCUUUAAGCUUUUAUAAAUACAUGACAUCAGUAAUCAUUAUCGUGUCCUGAGCUACUUUUUGUGUGUUUUGAGUGCAUAGUUAAAAACAUUCAAGCCCUUAAAUAUAUCCAGAGGCUGUGUAAAAAAGUACAAUAACCGGUGUUUUGAUUUCUCCAUUUUACAGUCAUAGUAUUUUGCAUCAGUGGUGUAUUAAGUUAUACUGGAAGUGUUCAAGACCAGUGGGAUGAGGUUAGGAGCAACCUGGUCUACUGGAAGAUGUCCAUGCCCUGUCAUAAAUAGCUACAACUAAAUAAAAUGAGUCCCACUC